rnacentral:misc_RNA from 1 species
GUUUGUUCUUUGUCAGUGUGAAUAGGUUGGUGCGUCUGUGGACGUGUCGCGAUCCCGGGUUGGUCUGACCCGUGGAGCGGUCCGGGGAACCGGAGUGCUCCGUGCUAAGGGAUUGCGGCGAGAGCGUUCAGAGACGAGAGUAAAGAGUGUAUUGUGCUGAUGACUGCACUUUCUUAUGUGCGGGGUUGUCCACGGUCUUUGUGUGGAUGGUUCCUGUGCAUGUGUGGUGAGUGAGCGCGAUAAGGGCAUUCGGUGGAUGCCUUGGCACCAGGAGGCGAUGAAAGACGUGGCACGCUGCGAAAAGCCAUGGGGAGCCGCG